rnacentral:rRNA from 1 species
CCUACGGGUGGCAGCAGUGAGGAAUAUUCGUCAAUGGACGAAAGUCUGAACCAGCCAUGUAGCGUGAAGGAUGACUGCCCUAGGGGUUGUAAACUUCGUUUAUAUGGGAAUAAAAUGUUCCACGGAAGGGAUUUUGUAUGUACAUUAUGAAUAAGGAUCGGCUAACUCCGUGCCAGCAGCCGCGGUAAUACGGAGGGUGCGAGCGUUAUCCGGAUUUGUUUGGUUUAAAGGGAGCGUAGGUGGGUUGUUAAGUCAGUUGUGAAAGUUUGCGGCUCAACCGGAAAAUUGCAGUUGAAACUGGCAGUCUUGAGUACAGUAGAGGUGGGCGGAAUUCGUGGUGUAGCGGUGAAAUGCUUAGAUAUCACGAAGAACUCCGAUUGCGAAGGCAGCUGCCUGGACUGCAACUGACACUGAGGCUCGAAAGUGUGGGGAUCAAACAGGAUUAGAUACCCUGGUAGUC